AUACGGAGGAUCCGAGCGUUAUCCGGAUUUAUUGGGUUUAAAGGGAGCGUAGGCGGACGCUUAAGUCAGUUGUGAAAGUUUGCGGCUCAACCGUAAAAUUGCAGUUGAUACUGGGUGUCUUGAGUACAGUAGAGGCAGGCGGAAUUCGUGGUGGUGCGGGGAAAUGCUUAGAUAUCACGAAGAACUCCGAUUGCGAAGGCAGCCUGCUGGACUGUAACUGACGCUGAUGCUCGAAAGUGUGGGUAUCAAACAGGAUUAGAUACCCUGGUAGUCCACACAGUAAACGAUGAAUACUCGCUGUUUGCGAUAUACAGUAAGCGGCCAAGCGAAAGCGUUAAGUAUUCCACCUGGGGAGUACGCCGGCAACGGUGAAACUCAAAGGAAUUGACGGGG
rnacentral:rRNA from 1 species